UACGAAGGGGGCUAGCGUUGCUCGGAAUCACUGGGCGUAAAGCGCACGUAGGCGGAUUGCUAAGUCAGGGGUGAAAUCCUGGAGCUCAACUCCAGAACUGCCUUUGAUACUGAAGAUCUUGAGUUCGGGAGAGGUGAGUGGAACUGCGAGUGUAGAGGUGAAAUUCGUAGAUAUUCGCAAGAACACCGGUGGCGAAGGCGGUUCUCUGGGCCGUAACUGACGCUGAGGAGCGAAAGCGUGGGGAGCGAACAGG
rnacentral:rRNA from 1 species